rnacentral:rRNA from 1 species
UACUGCGAGUGAAGGGGACAGCCCAGCGCCGAAUCCUGCUGCUGGCGACGGUGGCAGGAACUGYGGCGUGAAGAAGGUGUCUAUCAGCGUGACUGGCUCGCGUAAGUUCUCCUGAGUGAGGCUCCAUCCCAUGGAGGGUGCAAGGCCCGUGUCGUGAGCAGUCGUCGCUGAUGCGCGCUUUCAGAGAGUCGCCUUGUUUGCGAGUACAAGGUGAAGUCGGUGGUAAACUCCAUCGAAGGCUAAAUAUGACCACGAGUCCGAUAGCGAACAAGUACCGUGAGGGAAAAUUGAAAAGCACUUUGAAGAGAGAGCGAAACAGUGCGUGAAACCGCUCAGAGGCAAGCAGAUGGGGCCUCGAAGGCAAAGCACCGAAUUCAGCCGGUUGUCCGUGUGGUUGGCUGGUACGGGAGAUCGCAAGACUCUGUCUGGCCAAGUUGCGCGGCUGCCGGUGCACUUUCGGUGUUUGUACGCCACCGCCGUUGAGGAGCGUCCGCCGGACUGGCGUGUGGAGCCUAGCUCUCUCACGAGAGUUGGUGUCUCACUGCGGGUCUGUGCGCACUCGCACCUCAACCGGUCAUGUCAGCGUGUGCCAGCUUUUGCGUUGGCUCUGUCGGCUCCGGGCGGCUGUAUGUGGAUGACGAGCUUGCUCGGCUCUGCUGCAGUAGCUGGAAACUGGCAGUCCUUCAACGUGGCACAUUGCAGAUUCGGUGGCGAGUAGACGGCUGCCCAUCUAACCCGUCUUGAAACACGGACCAAGGAGUUCAACAUGCGCGCUAGUCGUUGGGACUAGAAGCCCGCUGGCAAAGUGAAAGCAAGUCACAGUGUCACGCUGUGUAUUGGCGAGAUCCCGUCACUCGUGUCCGCAAGGUCCGAGCCGGGCGCAUCGCCGGCCCAUCAUAAGCUCACGUGGCUGUGGUGGAGCUUGAGCGUGCACGUUGAGACCCGAAAGAUGGUGAACUAUGCCUGGGCAGGAUGAAGCCAGGGGUUUCUCUGGUGGAGGUCCGUAGCGAUUCUGACGUGCAAAUCGAUCGUCUGACCUGGGUAUAGGGGCGAA